rnacentral:snRNA from 1 species
GGAUGUGAGGGCGAUCUGGCUGCGACAUCUGUCACCCCAUUGAUCGCCAGGGUCGAUUCGGCUGUUCUGGCUGGCUAGGCGGGUGUUCCCUUCCUCCCUCACCGCUCCAUGUGCGUCCCUCCCGAAGCUGCGCGCUCGGUCAAAGAGGACGACCAUCCCCGAUAGAGGAGGACCGUUCUUCGGUCAAGGGUAUACGAGUAGCUGCGCUCCCCUGCUAGAACCUCCAAACAAGCUCUCAAGAAUGUUGUCAUCAUACACAGAGAAUGCUUAAUGUAGGAACCACACAUGGAAAGUGCCUUCUUU